GCGCUUUUUGAGCGGCCGAUGCCUGAUUAGCUAGUUGGUAAGGUAAUGGCUUACCAAGGCAACGAUCAGUAGCUGGUCUGAGAGGACGACCAGCCACACUGGGACUGAGACACGGCCCAG
rnacentral:rRNA from 1 species